UACAGAGGGUGCGAGCGUUAAUCGGAAUUACUGGGCGUAAAGCGCGCGUAGGCGGUUUGUUAAGUCGGAUGUGAAAGCCCCGGGCUCAACCUGGGAACUGCAUUCGAUACUGGCAGGCUAGAGUAUGGUAGAGGGAAGUGGAAUUCCGGGUGUAGCGGUGAAAUGCGUAGAUAUCCGGAGGAACAUCAGUGGCGAAGGCGGCUUCCUGGACCAAUACUGACGCUGAGGUGCGAAAGCGUGGGGAGCAAACAGGAUUAGAUACCCCCGUA
rnacentral:rRNA from 1 species